UACGUAGGGGGCAAGCGUUGUCCGGAUUUAUUGGGCGUAAAGGGCGUGUAGGCGGCUUGGUAGGUCCGCUGUGAAAACUCGAGGCUCAACCUCGAGAUGUCGGCGGAAACCACUUGGCUAGAGUCCGGAAGAGGAGAGUGGAAUUCCUGGUGUAGCGGUGAAAUGCGCAGAUAUCAGGAAGAACACCCGUGGCGAAGGCGGCUCUCUGGGACGGUACUGACGCUGAGACGCGAAAGCGUGGGGAGCGAACAGG
rnacentral:rRNA from 1 species